UGUAUUUUAGUGAUAAAUAUCAUAAAAAAUUUUGAAUUUUUUGAAAAUAAUUUUUUAAUUAUUAAAUACAA
rnacentral:tRNA from 1 species